CUUUCAGGCAACUCAUUUUUUUUUUUUUCUAUUCUCACCAUGGCUACAUUUCUCUCCCAUAACCACAGACCAUCAGAUUAGGGCUGGAGGGUACCCCAGAGACCAUCUCCUGCAACCCUCUAAAAUUAGAUGGGAAGAAUCUGGUCCCAGAGGGGUGAUGACUUCUUCAAGGUCACACAGCAGGCUGGUGGAGACGCUGAGACUAGACGCCCAUCUACUGGAUUCCAGGCCAAAGCUGUCUUCUCUAAUGGAUAGCUGGUUCAAUCUGUGGAAUUCGGGAAAAGGAAAUCAGAAAUCUAGAAAGCAGAUUGGAGCAAGCAUCCACACAAGAAGUGUCCCACAAUUAUAGUGGAAUGAUGAACAAGGGAUAGGACAGCAUGAUCCUGAAUUCUAGUGGAACAGCUGACACCAACCAAUUUGAAGAUUCUCCCCAGAGAAAGCAAAUCAACAUGAGAGUACAGCUUGUUUAUCUCCCUGUCCCAUGACUUCACCCUGCACUCUUUGGUCAAUCAAUAAUGUCCACACUUUGGCUCACUCCAAAACCCUUAAAAACCUUAGCCCCAAACUCUGUGAGUAGAACAGAUUUGAGGUUUUUUCCCAUUUCCUCAUUUGGUGACACUAUGAUUAAAUCUCUUUCUCUGCUGCAA